GCCGAGGUAGCCAAGCCCGGUAUGGCGGUGGUCUCGAAAACCACUGGUCCCUGACCUCGGGAGUUCGAAUCUCUCCCUCGGCGCCA
rnacentral:tRNA from 1 species